rnacentral:rRNA from 1 species
AGAGUUUGAUCCUGGCUCAGGACGAACGCUGGCGGUGUGCUUCACACAUGCAAGUCGAACGGGGUAGCAAUACCCAGUGGCGGACGGGUGAGUAACACGUGGGAAUCUGCCUUUAGAUGGGGGAUAGCAGACCGAAAGGUCUAUUAAUACCGCAUAUGUGUACGUCUCGACAGGGAUGUACAUGAAAGGAGCAAUCCGUCUGAAGAUGAGCCCGCGUCCGAUUAGCUAGUUGGUAGGGUAAUGGCCUACCAAGGCGACGAUCGGUAGGUGGUCUGAGAGGAUGAUCACCCACAAUGGGACUGAGACACGGCCCAUACUCCUACGGGAGGCAGCAGUGGGGAAUUUUGUGCAAUGGGCGAAAGCCUGACACAGCGACACCGCGUGAGCGAAGAAGCCCUUUGGGGUGUAAAGCUCUGUCAGCUGGAACGAAAUCAAUGACGGUACCAGCAGAGGAAGCAUCGGCUAACUACGUGCCAGCAGCCGCGGUAAGACGUAGGAUGCGAGCGUUGUCCGGAUUUAUUGGGCGUAAAGAGUUCGUAGGUGGUUUGUUAAGUUCGAUGUUAAAGAUCGGGGCUCAACUCCGGGAGUGCAUUGAAUACUGGCAGACUCGAGUGCGGUAGAGGCGAGUGGAAUUCCCAGUGUAGCGGUGAAAUGCGUAGA